GCCUUCGUGGUGUAAUGGUUAGUACACUCGGCGCGUAUUCGAGAGGUCCAGGUUCGAGUCCCGGCGAGGCA
rnacentral:tRNA from 1 species